UGGUCAAGCGGAAUGAAGUUAACUAGCAGAGGACGCUCUGCCGGGAGAAGGCGGGAGCCUGCAAGCGGGCCGCGUCAGUACAAAGUCUUGCAUGCGAGACUUAUUUCCGAGGCAGAACUUCCCUUGACGUGAUGAAUAGUCCACAAGGGCAUGGAAAGUUCAGGGGAGGGUGCCCUGCUGCAGGUGGAAAGAGUCUUUGUAUAACAUAGGAAAUGAAUAGUGUAAUGUAUAACUUAGCUUUGAUGAUUUCAUAAAGCAUGUUUGUUAAUCAUUGUCACUUGCUGUGCCCCAUUGUUGUUUGCUGUGCUCACUUCAAUAAAAGCCAGAAGGCAUCAGAGGGUCUUGGCUACACGCCUGAGCGAGCGGUAGCCCUCUGCUCUACUUCAUCCUGCACGCCCAGCUUGCCUCAGUGCCUCCGUUCACCGAGAACAUCAACAAAUGGCGCCUGAACAGAUCAGGGACCCGAAGGAACCAAGAAGUUCCGGAUUCCGGAUAAAAGAAUCAAGUGAAGGCAUGGCGAGCAAGAGGAAGUGUGAGGAGGCGGGACUGGAAGACCGGUUUGCUCAGCUAACCAUCCAGGGAGGACAAAAUUCGCGUACCGUUGCCUUGCACCCGAAACACCCCUCCACCUACAUGGGGACAGGUGAAGCGCCUAUGCCAGGAAGGGGAGCGUCUAGUGACUGCCCAUGGAAGGCCCUGGAACCAAUGACUCUAAUUGGAUGCCUGGACCUUUUGAAGAUCGUGGGCCUUUGAAACCAGUUGCCAGAAUACCUGUGUGUCUGGGACUAGGGAAUAUCUUGUUUUAAUUGUACUUUGUUAACUUGUGUAAAUAACUCUGUAUCUUUUAAUCACAGUAGAGAGAGCUUGUAUCUAUUGCGAGCCAGAACAGGAGUAUGGUUACCUGUACAGAUGGAUCGACAAUGGCAGGAAAGUUCUCUAGCUGGAGCUCUCCAAGCCAUUGCGGAAGGAAUAUGAAAAAGGUCAAAAAGGUUUAUUGGCAUGCUGAUCGCUGCAAUUCUAGGAUUGAUUGCUGUGAUAGCAACUGCAGCAACAGCUGGGGUGUGGCAUUGCAGCGAUCAGUCCGAACUGCUGCUUUUGUUCAGGAAUGGCAUAAAGAUUCAGAACAGUGAUGGAGUUCUCAACGGCAUAUUGAUGGCGAAGUCAAUGAACAAAUAGCCGAUCUUGAACAAUCAGUAGCUUUAUUAGGGGACCACAUUGUGAGCCUGCAAAGGCGACUACAGUUAAAAUGUGAUUGGAACCAUACUGGUCUGUGCAUCACCCCUGUGCCUUACAGUAAGACAGCUUUCCUUGGGAUAAGGUUAAGAAACAUUUAUUGAACCAUGGCAAUUUAACA